ACAAAGCAAAAAACAGCCCAUCGAGAGCUGCACAGAUUUUCAGUCAGGCAACUUAUCCCCAGGACAGAAGAUUGAACAUGGAAUUGUGAAGACCCCUCCCCCAUAGCCAUGUACAAGUCCGGGUGCACAAAAGAACAGCACGCCUGUAAAACAAUGGAGAAGGACCAGAUAGAGAGUUGAGAAGACACCUGUAUUCUUCUAGUGUCAUAGGGAUUAAAGGAGGCAAUAUAGUGGCACUGAUUGCCUUUGACUCUUCAUUAAAACAUAGUUUUAAUAUAAAACAAGAUUUGAAAGAGAUAAUAUUUGAGGAAAGAUGAUAAAUGGACUUUCUCAGAUGCCAACUCAGAUUAGUUGGUAGGGCCAGCCUGAUGAGAAAGACUGUGAAGUAGAGACCCAGCUUUGAAGAUUCUACUGUUCCCGGCUCCAUCGCAAUUUCUACAUUAUUUUCCAACUUAGGGAAGUGGGAAGAUACCAGACAUUCAUGGUGAGACUAUUACAACUUCCAGUUCAGUUUAAAAUCUAGACUUGGAAGCACCUUCAGAAUGAUUUCUGGCUCCACAGCAAGCAGGUGAUACAAGUUUAGAAUGAUGUUAAAUGUACAGCAACAAAAUUUUAAAAAAUUCUGUUUAUGUUUCAGAUUCUCACAUCCCUUUAACUUACAGCUCUGUUCACAGGUAG